UACCUUUUUGCUUUAAAAAUUUUGAUGAUGCCUUGAUCACCUUGUGUAGCCAUACACGCGUUCGGCCUCUACGGAUAGUCCAUGCGAAGCUCCAGGAAGAUCCACAACUGCAGGAGUGCUCGCUUGUGCAGAGGUGCUGCAGUGGCUGAACUUUUCUCCCUCAAAGCAUUCAAUUUUUGAUUCUUCUUCGAGAGGAUGAAGGAUGGAGAUGAAGGAGAAGAAAGAAGAGAGAAGGUGGCUGACUCUCAUAAUUUUUUCAGAAUUUAGAACCCUUUCUAAAGAUGAUCUCUUACAAACCCUAGGCGUGGGGGUCUUUUUAUAGCCAAAAGACCCCCCACGCCUCACACCUC
rnacentral:lncRNA from 1 species